CCGCCAGCCAGGACGGAUUCUCUUCCUCUUCCUCCUCUGCAGUUGACAGCCGCACUCGUGUACUCGCGCUAUCGACUUUCUCCGUUUUUUUCUCCUGUUUUACGUUGAGUGCUUUGGCCGAUGCUUCUUGUCUCCCACGCACUCCCUCCUCAUUCGUGUGCGCGUGUCUCUCUGUAUUCGAUGGCUUUGCUAAGCCGUGCCAUCGACACUCAAGCCGCCUCUUGCCCUUACUCUCUCCUUUUGCGCCAUGACAGCUCAGGCGAAGCUCGCAAGACGCGCACCCAAGGCGGUGGCUGCAAGCAAGAAGGCGCCCAAGGAAGCGCCGUCUUUGCCCAAGUCCACUUCCGCCUCGCCGGGGCAGCGUGCCCAGGCUGCCUCAGCGCCUCUGCAGAGCGCUGAGUCUGUGCAGGUGUACCUGCGCACCGUCCCCACCCCGCUGGGGCCGUUUUCGCUUUACGUGGAUGCUGAUGGCGCCGUCCGCUUCUGCCACUGGCGGCGCAGCGCGCCUGGUGACGCCGCCGCGCUUUGCCCCGAGGCGCAGGAGGUGUGCGCCACAAUGCGAUCCCGCUGGUACAAGCGCACGCCCGUGACGGUGGCGGGUGUGUGGGCCGAUGGCGCUGACGGGGCGUCGGGGCUGCCUGGAGAACGCGCAGUGACGCUCAUGAGGAAUUAUUUCAAUCCUUCCACGGCGAAGGCUGGCCGACCAGAAGAAUUGGAGCGCCUCCUGCUGCAGGUGCCGAUCAUUUAUCCGCCUACCUCCGCCUUCAUGGCGCAGACGUGGGCGACGCUGCGCCACACUGUUCCCUCCGGCAAGACCAUCUCCUAUAAGGGUCUGGGGGUCCGUGUGAAUAAGGCACUGAAUCUGCCUGCCUCGGCUGCAGUGGCGCCACGCGCCAUUGGUGUGGCCAUGGGGGCCAACCCCAUACCCGUCAUUGUGCCCUGCCAUCGUGUCUUAUCGUCGACGAACUCGCUAUGCGGGUACGGGCUCGGGCUGCGUUUCAAGGUUUGGCUACUACGACACGAGCAGGCGGGUGUUGCGGCCAACAAGCUGCGCGUAGGCGAAGAGGAGACUGCUGUGAGCACUGCGGCUUCGCGCCGUUGAUGACUGCAAAGACUUACGCGGGGGCAGACAGUUCCAGUGGCCCCCGUCCCCCUUCCCCAACCCUAGACUUUCCAGUGCUUCGCCAAAACUAUCGGUCUCUCUAGCCCGCGAAAGGGCGCAUAAGCGUCGGUGUCUUCAGCGCACUAGACGAAUUCAGCACACGCGCACACGCACACACAUACGUCACCACAUAUACACCCCACACAUCCCGCUCCUGUCCCUUCUACAUCUGUCUGCUUACGUCUCCUGCAUCGCGACCUUCCUGACCACCUCUGGUCUUCGCUCUGCUACUGUGUGCAACCACCACCGUCUCUCGAUUAUCACCGGGGGCGCCUUUUAUUGUUCGGCGUUGAGGACAG
rnacentral:misc_RNA from 1 species